rnacentral:pre_miRNA from 1 species
UGACCCAAGCUGCCGCCUGGUGUGAAAUAUGACUUAUCUGCAGCAGCCUGUGUCCAGU